rnacentral:rRNA from 1 species
UACGUAGGGUACAAGCGUUGUUCGGAAUCAUUGGGCGUAAAGCGCACGUAGGCGGAUCGAUCAGUCAGGGGUGAAAUCCCAGGGCUCAACCCUGGAACUGCCUUUGAUACUGUCGAUCUGGAGUAUGGAAGAGGUGAGUGGAAUUCCGAGUGUAGAGGUGAAAUUCGUAGAUAUUCGGAGGAACACCAGUGGCGAAGGCGGCUCACUGGUCCAUUACUGACGCUGAGGUGCGAAAGCGUGGGGAGCAAACAGG